GACUGGAUAGGAAGAUAAAAGGCAUCUUUUAUCUUUUAAAAGACCUAGUAAUAGGUAUGCUUUAGGAGGGGCUUGCGCCAUAUUAGUUAGUUGGUAGGGUAAUGGCCUACCAAGACGAUGAUGUGUAGCUGGACUGAGAGGUUGAACAGCCACAUUGGGACUGAGACACGGCCCAAACUCCUACGGGAGGCAGCAGUAGGGAAUUUUCGGCAAUGGAGGAAACUCUGACCGAGCAACGCCGCGUGAAUGACGAAGUACUUCGGUAUGUAAAGUUCUUUUAUCAAGGAAGAAAAGCAAAUGGCGAACCAUUUGUUUGCCGGUACUUGAUGAAUAAGCCCCGGCUAAUUAUGUGCCAGCAGCCGCGGUAAGACAUAAGGGGCAAGUGUUAUCCGGAAUUAUUGGGCGUAAAGGGUGCGUAGGCGGUCUAGUAAGUCAGUGGUGUAAUGGCAACGCUUAACGUUGUCCGGCUAUUGAAACUGCUAAACUUGAGUUAGAUAGAGGCGAGUGGAAUUCCAUGUGUAGCGGUAAAAUGCGUAAAUAUAUGGAGGAACACCAGAGGCGUAGGCGGCUCGCUGGGUCUUAACUGACGCUGAGGCACGAAAGCGUGGGGAGCAAACAGGAUUAGAUACCCUGGUAGUCCACGCCGUAAACGAUGAGUACUAAGUGUCGGGUUAAACCGGUACUGAAGUUAACACAUUAAGUACUCCGCCUGAGUAGUACGUACGCAAGUAUGAAACUUAAAGGAAUUGACGGGACUCCGCACAAGCGGUGGAUCAUGUUGUUUAAUUCGAAGAUACCCGAAAAACCUUACCAGGUCUUGACAUGUUUUUGCAAAAUGAUAGUAAUAUCGUGGAGGUUACCAGAAACACAGGUGGUGCAUGGUUGUCGUCAGCUCGUGUCGUGAGAUGUUAGGUUAAGUCCUAAAACGAGCGAAACCCUUAUCGUUAGUUGCCAGCACGUUAUGGUGGGGACUUUAACGAGACUGCCAAUGAUAAAUUGGAGGAAGGUGAGGAUCACGUCAAAUCAGCAUGCCCCUUAUGACCUGGGCUACAAACGUGAUACAAUGGCUGUUACAAAGGGUAGCUGAAACGCAAGUUCUUGGCCAAUCCCCAAAAACAGUCCCAGUCCGGAUUGAAGUCUGCAACUCGACUUCAUGAAGUUGGAAUCGCUAGUAAUCGCGAAUCAGCAUGUCGCGGUGAAUACGUUCUCGGGGUUUGUACACACCGCCCGUCAAACCACGAAAGUUGGCA
rnacentral:rRNA from 21 species